UGUGUGUUAGUGGAAGCGUCUGGAAAGGCGCGCGAUACAGGGUGACAGCCCCGUACACAAAAAUGCACAUAUUGUGAGCUCGAUGAGUAGGGCGGGACACGUGGUAUCCUGUCUGAAUAUGGGGGGACCAUCCUCCAAGGCUAAAUACUCCUGACUGACCGAUAGUGAACCAGUACCGUGAGGGAAAGGCGAAAAGAACCCCGGCGAGGGGAGUGAAAAAGAACCUGAAACCGUGUACGUACAAGCAGUGGGAGCACGCUUAGGCGUGUGACUGCGUACCUUUUGUAUAAUGGGUCAGCGACUUAUAUUCUGUAGCAAGGUUAACCGAAUAGGGGAGCCGAAGGGAAACCGAGUCUUAACUGGGCGUUAAGUUGCAGGGUAUAGACCCGAAACCCGGUGAUCUAGCCAUGGGCAGGUUGAAGGUUGGGUAACACUAACUGGAGGACCGAACCGACUAAUGUUGAAAAAUUAGCGGAUGACUUGUGGCUGGGGGUGAAAGGCCAAUCAAACCGGGAGAUAGCUGGUUCUCCCCGAAAGCUAUUUAGGUAGCGCCUCGUGAAUUCAUCUCCGGGGGUAGAGCACUGUUUCGGCAAGGGGGUCAUCCCGACUUACCAACCCGAUGCAAACUGCGAAUACCGGAGAAUGUUAUCACGGGAGACACACGGCGGGUGCUAACGUCCGUCGUGAAGAGGGAAACAACCCAGACCGCCAGCUAAGGUCCCAAAGUCAUGGUUAAGUGGGAAACGAUGUGGGAAGGCCCAGACAGCCAGGAUGUUGGCUUAGAAGCAGCCAUCAUUUAAAGAAAGCGUAAUAGCUCACUGGUCGAGUCGGCCUGCGCGGAAGAUGUAACGGGGCUAAACCAUGCACCGAAGCUGCGGCAGCGACACUAUGUGUUGUUGGGUAGGGGAGCGUUCUGUAAGCCUGUGAAGGUGUGCUGUGAGG
rnacentral:rRNA from 1 species